AUUGAACGCUGGCGGCAUGCUUUACACAUGCAAGUCGAACGGUAACAGGCCUUCGGGUGCUGACGAGUGGCGAACGGGUGAGUAAUGCAUCGGAACGUGCCCAAUCGUGGGGGAUAACGUAGCGAAAGUUACGCUAAUACCGCAUAAGCCCUGAGGGGGAAAGCAGGGGAUCGCAAGACCUUGCGCGAAUGGAGCGGCCGAUGUCAGAUUAGCUAAUUGGUGGGGGUAAAGGCCUACCAAGGCGACGAUCUGUAGCGGGUCUGAGAGGAUGAUCCGCCACACUGGGACUGAGACACGGCCCAGACUCCUACGGGAGGCAGCAGUGGGGAAUUUUGGACAAUGGGCGCAAGCCUGAUCCAGCCAUGCCGCGUGCGGGACGAAGGCCUGGUUGUAACCGCUUCAGCCGGAAGAAAGUCGCCAAGGCUAAUAAUCCUUGGUGG
rnacentral:rRNA from 1 species